GAGUGAGUAGGGAUGGGGUGGGAAGCUAACUCGAAACCCAUAGUUGUGAAGGAACUAAAGCUUGGGAUUUCAGGCCGGAGGGUUGAGAAGUAGACUUGCAACCAGAGCUGGAAGACCUAGAGUGGGCCGUUUUGAUGGGGGUCGAUUUUCCCAAAGGUUGUUUUGGUGAAACAUCAGGUAAGGUUGGCAAGGACAGCUGCACUCAGAGCCAGGAUGUGACAGCUAGGCAUGGCCUAGGCAACAGGCAUGUUUUCAGCCAAGCACUUAUUCGACUUGGCACAAAAGAAAUAUUUGUUGUACUAGUAGAAUAAAAAAGCCGCAUGUUCUCCUUUCUUGAGGUCUUCCCCUUCUGAACCGACGAAGUGGGUGAUCAAGGUGUUGUAAUUCAAAAAGUUUUUGUACAAUUUAUGCACUUCCUCUUUUGACGGCCUUUGAUCUUCUUUCAUUAGGACUUCGAUAGCACGUUCCUCAAAGACCGUAUUUAGGUCCAAGUUGAAUUUGUACCCAGCAAGAGAGGUAUCAACCGAGAGGCCGGUUAGAGAGGUGCUAAGUAUGG
rnacentral:lncRNA from 1 species